rnacentral:rRNA from 1 species
GACGAACGCUGGCGGCGUGCUUAACACAUGCAAGUCGAACGGAAAGGCCCUGCUUUUGUGGGGUGCUCGAGUGGCGAACGGGUGAGUAACACGUGAGUAACCUGCCCUUGACUUUGGGAUAACUUCAGGAAACUGGGGCUAAUACCGGAUAGGAGCUCCUGCUGCAUGGUGGGGGUUGGAAAGUUUCGGCGGUUGGGGAUGGACUCGCGGCUUAUCAGCUUGUUGGUGGGGUAGUGGCUUACCAAGGCUUUGACGGGUAGCCGGCCUGAGAGGGUGACCGGCCACAUUGGGACUGAGAUACGGCCCAGACUCCUACGGGAGGCAGCAGUGGGGAAUAUUGCACAAUGGGCGGAAGCCUGAUGCAGCAACGCCGCGUGCGGGAUGACGGCCUUCGGGUUGUAAACCGCUUCCGCCUGUGACGAAGCGUGAGUGACGGUAAUGGGUAAAGAAGCACCGGCUAACCACGUG